GAACGACCCAUCCCCCAAUUAACCCUACCCAUUUGCCAUUGCAAUCUCUCUCUCAUUGAAACUGGGCCGCGGACCUCAUCACAGUCAUUGAAGCCGGCACGACUUCUGCGACGAUGACCUCCAUCACCUCCGUGGAGUUGAAUUUCGUAGUCUUUCGUUACCUUCAGUAAUCAGGCGGAUUAUGUUCAAGAAUACAGCAGCUAUGUGGGAUUUAUGAGGGAUGGAGCACAGUGGUUUGUGGAGAACACAGACAUUAAACUUGUUGGAAUUGAUUAUUUAUCCGCUGCUGCAUAUGAUGAUUUGAUUCCAUCCCACCUUGUUUUUCUAGAAGGCAGGGAAAUGAUGACCCCCUCCAAGGAGAAAUAGCAUGGAAUAGGACGCCACGAGAGCUUGGUAUUUCAGCUUAUGCUCUUCAACAACUUGGUGGUUCACAUGGUUUGCACUGCUACAUCAAAACAAAUUAGAGAAUUAAUGAAGGUUGAUGGGCUUACUAAUGAUGAAGUCAAAAGCCAUUUGCAGCCAGUUGGAAUAUAAGUGUUGGUCGUUUUAGUUCAUGCCGUCGAGGAGAGCAAGUUCUGCACAUGUACAAUAUGAAGAUGAAGUUGAUGAUGAGGAUACUAUUACUCUGCUUCCUCAGCUGCUUCUGGUUUCAGCUGUCCUUUGCUAAAAAAGCUACCACUGAUCCAUCUGAAGGUUCUU